GGAGGAAAGUAGGGGAUCGCAAGACCUUGCGCUUUUUGAGCGGCCGAUGCCUGAUUAGCUAGUUGGUAAGGUAAUGGCUUACCAAGGCAACGAUCAGUAGCUGGUCUGAGAGGACGACCAGCCACACUGGGACUGAGACACGGCCCAGACUCCUACGGGAGGCAGCAGUGGGGAAUUUUGGACAAUGGGCGAAAGCCUGAUCCAGCCAUGCCGCGUGAGUGAAGAAGGCCUUCGGGUUGUAAAGCUCUUUCGGUCGGGAGGAAAUAGUUGUGGCUAAUAUCCACAAUGAAUGACGGUACCGACAUAAGAAGCACCGGCUAACUACGUGCCAGCAGCCGCGGUAAUACGUAGGGUGCAAGCGUUAAUCGGAAUUAUUGGGCGUAAAGGGUGCGCAGGCGGUUGUAUAAGUCAGAUGUGAAAUCCCUGGGCUUAACCUAGGAAUUGCGUUUGAAACUACAAGGCUAG
rnacentral:rRNA from 1 species